AUAAAAAACCACCAAAAAAAUUUCAUUUCCCUCUCUAUCUUCUUCUUCUUCUUCCUCUCUGUCUCACACAGAAACUCACACUCUCUCUCCCUUCACUUUCAGACCCAUACUCGGAAACCCCCAAACCCCAAACACAGAAACCCCAAUGGAGAGACCCAUACUCGGAAACCCCCAAACCCCAAACACAGAAACCCCAAUGGAAAGACCCAUACUCGGAAACCCCCAAACCCCAAACGCAGAAACCCCAACGGAGAGACCCAAACCCAACCCCAAACCCAAACCCAAACCUCAGUUAUAUAAGGAGUUGUUCUCUCUCCCUACGCCUCUCCUCUCCUCUGCAAUAUCCCUCUCCCUAUGUCGAGCCAGCCUCCUCUGUAAUCUCUCUCCCUACGCAUCUCCUCUCCUCUGCAAUCCAACUCAAACCAGGCGAACCAGAUGCGAACCACGAGCUGAUCUCCUAAAGCCGAGCCGAGCCCAGAUGCCUCUUCCCUCCCUAAAGUCGAGCCUAGAUGCCUCUUCUUCCCUAAAGCUGAGCCAAGAUGAUCUCCUAGCUUGAACCCAAACCGGCGUUCAACUCAACUCAAUUCUUGAACCCAACGUCGAGCCCGUUCACAUCUGGAUUCUUGCUAAUAGACAAUCUGUUGUGCGGUCUAAAGAGUCGAAGAUUCGCUAUACCAAUGAGCUAGAGAGGAAGGUCCAGACCCUUCAAACUGAAGCCACCACCCAUUCUGCGUAGGUUGCAUUGCUCCAGAGGGAUACUACUGGGUUAACUGCUGAGAAUAAGGAGCUCAAAAUGCAGUUACAGGCUAUGGAGCAACAAGCACAACUCAGAGAGGGAAUGAAUCCAUGUUGCUAUUUUCUGAGAGAAAUUAUGGACUAUUCAAGGCUGGACUAACGUUUGAGAGAAAUUAUGGACUAUUCAAGGCUGAUGGCACCAUUUCAUAUGACAUUGGGUUUCAUGGACUUGAUUCUUGAUCUGCAGAUUCAUUAUGUUUAUCCCCGAAGGAUGAAGGCCUUCACGAUUCAAGUAAAAUUGCUGCUUUCGAUUUUGAUGGAUGUCUUGCAAACACUUCUGUUAGAAGGGUAGGUCCGGAUGCUUGGUCUCUGAUGUAUCCUUCAAUACCUGCUAAGCUACAGAGCCUGUACAAUGAUGGCUAUAAACUGGUUAUCUUUACCAAUGAAUCAAACAUUGAGCACUGGAAAAAUAAGAGACAAGUUGCUGUGGACUCAAAAAUUGGUCGCCUAAACAAAUUAAUGAGACAAUGAAAGUCCCAAUUCAGGUUUCAUUGCUUGUGGAGUAAGUAAUUCUAAUGGUCAAGCAGACGAUCCCUACCGCAAACCAAAACCAGGGAUGUGCUUCAUAUGGUGGAUUGUUGUAUUCUGUGGUGUUUCAGGAACUAAAGAGAAAGAGCAUAGCAGCUGCUGCACUCAUGUCACUUCAACAUAAACUUUAGAAAUACAAGAUAGAGUUGAACGACUCGUAUAAGAAUACUCGAGUAUACUUAUAACUUGUUCAUGUUGCACAGAACUGAUUACUUAUAAAUUGAGAUUAUAUUUGUAUCUGAUGAAACAUAUUUUUAUUAAGUUUUCUAUGUAAUUUGUCUUUGUAAUAUGUAAAUUUGGUUUAUUUUUUGAUUGUUGACUGUUGUUGGUGUAAUAAAUUUAUAAAAUUGUUGAAUAAAAAAGUU